rnacentral:rRNA from 1 species
CCCUUAGAUGUUCUGGGCCGCACGCGCGCUACACUGAUGCAUUCAACGAGUGUACCUUGGCCGAGAGGCCUGGGCAAUCUUUUGAACGUGCAUCGUGAUAGGGAUAGAUUAUUGCAAUUAUUAAUCUUGAACGAGGAAUUCCUAGUAAACGCAGAUCAUCAAUCUGCAUUGAUUACGUCCCUGCCCUUUGUACACACCGCCCGUCGCACCUACCGAUUGGACGGUCCGGUGAAGCCUCGGGAUUGUGGCGGUUGCCUUUAUUGGUGGCCGCCGCGAGAACUUGUCUAAACCUUAUCAUCUAGAGGAAGGUGAAGUCGUAACA